GGUUCGACCACAUAUCCAAGGGCACGUUUUUGGUGAUACAGACUCAGACAAUGAAGUAGAAGUGGGUAAAAAGAGGAGAUGCAGCAGUAUCUCCUCUGCACCAGCACCACCUAUUCCUCCACCUACUCCUGACAUACCCUCUGAUUCAGCUUGCCAGACCUCUGCUGGACCUCUGCUAAACCUGAGGCAUACUGAAUAUCCCUGUUUUACCACUGCACCACCUGCCCCCAUUACGACACUUGGCAUGCCUUCCAGUCCUCUUCACUUCUCCAUUAGACAUUCUGAACACGGCCGUUACACAGCUCCAGUGCAUGCAGUUACCACCCCCAUCUCUCACAUGCCCUCAAGCUCUAUGAGCCAGGUCUCUGCUACACCUCUUUCAGAAGAACAUCAAGACCAUUCAUGUAACCCCCGGUUUAGACUGGGGAGGACAGGCACUGGACCUAUUCCUUGCUCUGCCGCUCAACUGCACAUCCUAACACUGUUGGAACAUAUCAAGGAACAGCAGAUGCAGCUUGCUGCUACCGUUAAUAAUCCUGCUGCACGUAUGGCGACAGACACGGCUGUGGCUGAAAUGCCUCCCAAUGUCAGUUUGCCACUGGCCACCAUGUCUGAAGUUGAGGAGUUGGAGGACUGGCUUAAAGAUUCAAGAAACUCGCAGGCUAAGCAAAACAUGAUUUCUGCUCUGGGUGCUACAGGAGGACAAAAUGCUAAACGAGUCACAUGGAACAUACUUUCAAGGCUUUUCUCAGAUGCAGUAGCCAAAAAAAUAAACUGGAAAGGAGUUAAUGGGAAGAAGUGCUUUAAAGAAACGCACACAAGAAGUUUGCU